UAAAUUGCUGCAGUUAAAAAGCUCGUAGUUGGAUCUCGGUAUUAUUGUUACCUGCCGGCCUUGCAAGCGUUGGCCUAUCGAUAUAUGGGUGAGCCUGUGUGUCAUAGUGUCAGCUGUUUCGGGUUGGUGUGGCGGCGGUGACACCUUUCAGCCAUGUCUGUGGUGAAAUAUCCACAGGUGUAGGCGAGUGUCAGGCGGUGCCCUGCAACUGUGGGGUUCGUCGGCUUGUCUGCAUGCCUCUGGAUGCCCUUCAUAAGGUGUCUGUGGGCGGAUGGCACGUUUACUUUGAACAAAUUUGAGUGCUCAAACCAGGCCGAUGUUGCCUGAAAAGUUUUGCAUGGAAUAAUGGAAUAGGACUUCGGUUCUAUUUCGUUGGUUUUCGGAUCCGAAGUAAUGAUCAAAAGAGACAGGCGGGGACGUUUGUAUGGCUGCGCUAGAGGUGAAAUUCUUGGACCGUANCCAGACAAACUAAAGCGAAAGCAUUCGUCAAGCAUGUUUUCAUUGGCCAUGAGCGAAAGUCAGAGGCUCGAAGACGAUCANAUACCGUCCUAGUUCUGACCAUAAACGAUGCCAACUGACGAUCCGUGAUGGUAGCAUUUAAACCUUCCUCACNGGCAGUCCCCGGGGAAACCAUUAANUCUAUGGGUUCCGGGGGAANUAUGGUUGCAAACCUGAAACUUAAANGAAUUGACNG
rnacentral:rRNA from 1 species